rnacentral:lncRNA from 13 species
AUGGCGCGGCGAUGCGCGCAGCCCUUCCGGCGGGGAGCGGGACCGCGGGCGGGAAAUGGCGGAGGGGGUGGUGACGGGGCCCGGCCCGGGCCGGCCUGGCCUGGCGUCCUCCGCCGUGUGGGCGGGCGCGGCGCGGUUCCUCGCCGAAGGGGCCUUGCGGGGCCUCUCUCGUCCAGCCCUAACGGUGCGGGCUCCCGGUUUGUCCCACGUGCGGCUCCUGAGGGCCCGGGAGGGGAGGGGCAGCCCUCGGACAGGGCCCUGCUUGCAGGUGGGACCGCAGGGAUGAGGCCCCUCACACCCAUCGCCGGGACGGAGCUGAUGGAGUGGGCGGCGCUGGGGGCUCGGCCGGGCGCGGGGGCGAAGCUGCCCCGCUGCUGUGGGGGCCGGCAGAGCGCCCAGCCCUGUCCUGCCCUGCCCUGCCCAACACCGAGGCGCGGGCACGGACCCGCCCAGUCCCCUCCCCGGACUCAGAGAGGCACGCCGAGGGCAUUGUCCACUUUUAAUUGUUGUCAAAGGUUGUCUGGAUGCAUAACACUGUCACAAGGGCACAGAGCAGCGUGGUGCCGGCCUGGCCCGGGGACACCGGACACAGGGACAUGCGGGGGAAUGUGGGGACAAGGAGCUGUGACCCCCACCUCCCCGAGCCCCCCAGAGCAUCCCCACGCCCGGCCGGCUCUAUUUACAGUAUUCACAGACGUUGUACCCAGCGAGUUAAAUAACUACAUCAUUACACCACACGUCUGGGGCGGCUCCGGCAGGCUGCGAGGGUGGGCUGUCAGUCUGAUAAGGUGCAUAUUUAAAAUAAAAAACCCAACAAAACGAAAUAAAAACGAGAACAAAGAGAGGAGCCAGGCGUCCUUGCCGGGGUCCCACAGCCCCCGGGCGCCCGGGAGGAGCAGCAAGGGUCGUGUUCUGAUGACAGCUACGGGUCUGCAUGGGCCGCCGCCGGGGUCACGGCACGGGCAGUGGCCCCUGGGAACAUCGGCCAGGCCCUCACAGCACCUCUGCGGGUGGGGAGAGCAGUGUGAGCCUGAGGUACGCACAGCGCCGUCCCCCCACACUCCUCCCGCUGCUCACCUGUCACCUGCGGGGGCUUCACCACGGCCUGCUUGA